AAAUCCAGAUAACACAGAUCUGUGUAAAAAAUUUACACAGAUUGUUGAACAUGUUCUAGCUGUCAAAACUGUGUAGUUUUAUAACGCAGAUCUGUGUAAAAAGUUACACAGAUUUCCGGUCAACCUCCCUUUCAAAUCUGGGUAAAAAAGUUAAGAUGGCGUCUUCCUGCAACAUUGACGGAACUUGAUAUUUAAGACAAACAGGCAACACAGAUGCAUCGCAAAUCAAAUGGAAUCGGUCCCUGUGCAUAGAAAUGUUUGCUCGGAAAGAUACACCUUCCUACGUCAAUCCCACUUGAUUGCGCCACUUGGAUUCCUCGGAACUUCCACCGAAUGAAUGAACUGGUGCUUCAAGUGCAGCGGAAUUAUCUGCCGCGGAAGCUGCUCUACGACCUUCCAUCUGGUCUCACAAGAGGACAUCUUCUUUGGCCCAAUGUGUAUAAUUAUUGUUAAUGAAAUGUAGUAAGUUUCAAACUUACACUAAUAAAUCUUUCAUGAUGUUUCUUUU